rnacentral:rRNA from 1 species
CACCGCGGUUAAACGAGGGGCCCAAGUUGAUAACACCACGGCGUAAAGGGUGGUUAAGGAAAAUAACACAAUAAAGCCAAAUGGCCCUUUGGCCGUCAUACGUUUCUAGGUGUCCGAAGCCCAAUUAUACGAAAGUAGCUUUAAUAUGCCCACCUGACCCCACGAAAACUGAGAAA